UGCAUGAUUUAGGCAUUCAUUCUUCACCACUUUGUCAUUGUUUCAUCCACAUUUCAUCUCAUUAGGAGUUGUUUUGGUGUGUUUUGCAUACUUAGGAUGAUUUUGCAUUAGGAUUGCAUGUGUAUUGCAUAUUUGGUUGUUUUCAGGUACUUUGGAUGCUUUUGGAGUUCAAACAGAGGAGAAACAGAAGAGAAAGUCAGAAUGCCCAAUGACGCCUUCAGCAAAAGUACUCUAUCGCAGCCUCGGAGCCAUG
rnacentral:sRNA from 1 species